rnacentral:rRNA from 1 species
UACGAAGGGGGCUAGCGUUGCUCGGAAUGACUGGGCGUAAAGGGCGCGUAGGCGGUUCAUACAGUCAGAUGUGAAAUUCCCGGGGCUUAACCUGGGGGCUGCAUUUGAUACGUGUUGUCUUGAGUUCGGAAGAGGGUCGUGGAAUUCCCAGUGUAGAGGUGAAAUUCGUAGAUAUUGGGAAGAACACCGGUGGCGAAGGCGGCGA